rnacentral:rRNA from 1 species
CAGUCGCCGCGGUAAUACGAAGGGGGCUAGCGUUGUUCGGAUUUACUGGGCGUAAAGCGCACGUAGGCGGACUUUUAAGUCAGGGGUGAAAUCCCGGGGCUCAACCCCGGAACUGCCUUUGAUACUGGAAGUCUUGAGUAUGGUAGAGGUGAGUGGAAUUCCGAGUGUAGAGGUGAAAUUCGUAGAUAUUCGGAGGAACACCAGUGGCGAAGGCGACCACCUGGGCUCAUACUGACACUGAGGCACGAAAGCGUGGGGAGCAAACAGGAUUAGAUACCCCAGUAGUCCCUGUCUCUUAUAC